GUACUUCUGAGGAGUCCCACAAUAGAACGAAACAACUGUCCAAUAC
rnacentral:hammerhead_ribozyme from 1 species